GCAUGGUUGUCGUCAGCUCGUGUCGUGAGAUGUUGGGUUAAGUCCGCAACGAGCGCAACCCCUAUUGUUAGUUGCCAUCAUUCAGUUGGGCACUCUAGCGAGACUGCCGGUAAUAAACCGGAGGAAGGUGGGGAUGACGUCAAAUCAUCAUGCCCCUUAUGACCUGGGCUACACACGUGCUACAAUGGUUGGUACAACGAGUUGCGAGUCGGUGACGGCGAGCUAAUCUCUUAAAGCCAAUCUCAGUUCGGAUUGUAGGCUGCAACUCGCCUACAUGAAGUCGGAAUCGCUAGUAAUCGCGGAUCAGCACGCCGCGGUGAAUGCGUUCCCGGGCCUU
rnacentral:rRNA from 1 species